rnacentral:rRNA from 1 species
GACGAACGCUGGCGGCGUGCCUAAUACAUGCAAGUAGAACGCUGAAGGAGGAGCUUGCUCUUCUGGAUGAGUUGCGAACGGGUGAGUAACGCGUAGGUAACCUGCCUGGUAGCGGGGGAUAACUAUUGGAAACGAUAGCUAAUACCGCAUAAUAGUAGAUGUUGCAUGACAUUUGCUUAAAAGGUGCAAUUGCAUCACUACCAGAUGGACCUGCGUUGUAUUAGCUAGUUGGUGGGGUAACGGCUCACCAAGGCGACGAUACAUAGCCGACCUGAGAGGGUGAUCGGCCACACUGGGACUGAGACACGGCCCAGACUCCUACGGGAGGCAGCAGUAGGGAAUCUUCGGCAAUGGACGGAAGUCUGACCGAGCAACGCCGCGUGAGUGAAGAAGGUUUUCGGAUCGUAAAGCUCUGUUGUAAGAGAAGAACGAGUGUGAGAGUGGAAAG